rnacentral:rRNA from 1 species
AUUGAACGCUGGCGGCAGGCCUAACACAUGCAAGUCGAACGAGUGGCGGACGGGUGAGUAAUGUCUGGGAAACUGCCCGAUGGAGGGGGAUAACUACUGGAAACGGUAGCUAAUCCCGCCUACCAUCGGAUGUGCCCAGAUGGGAUUAGCUAGUAGGUGGGGUAACGGCGCACCUGGGCGACGAUCCCUAGCUGGUCUGAGAGGAUGACCAGCCACACUGGAACUGAGACACGGUCCAGCCUCCUGCGGGAUGCAGCAGUGGGGAAUAUUGCACAAGGGGCGCAAGCCGGAUGCAGCCAUGCCGCGUGUAUGAAGAAGGCCUUCGGGUUGGAAAGUACUUUCAGCGAGGAGGCGUUACUCGCAGAAGAAGCACCGGCUAACUCCGUGCCAGCAGCCGCGGUAAUUC